GAUGGCGACCGGCGCACGGGUGAGUAACACGUAUCCAACCUGCCGAUGACUCGGGGGAUAGCCUUUCGAAAGAAAGAUUAAUACCCGAUGGCAUAGUUCUUCCGCAUGGUGGAACUAUUAAAGAAUUUCGGUCAUCGAUGGGGAUGCGUUCCAUUAGGUUGUUGGCGGGGUAACGGCCCACCAAGCCUUCGAUGGAUAGGGGUUCUGAGAGGAAGGUCCCCCACAUUGGAACUGAGACACGGUCCAAACUCCUACGGGAGGCAGCAUG
rnacentral:rRNA from 1 species